rnacentral:rRNA from 1 species
GUGCCAGCAGCCGCGGUAAGACGGGGGAGGCAAGCGUUGUCCGGAAUUAUUGGGCGUAAAGAGCGCGUAGGUGGUUUGUAAAGUCAUUUGUGAAAACUUUAGGCUUAACUUAAAGACUGCAAGUGAUACUGACAAACUUGAGUACAGUAGAGGAAAGUGGAAUUCCUGGUGUAGCGGUGAAAUGCGCAGAUAUCAGGAAGAACACCAGUGGCGAAGGCGGCUUUCUGGGCUGUUACUGACACUGAGGCGCGAAAGCUAGGGGAGCGAACAGGAUUAGAAACCCUCGUAGUCC